rnacentral:rRNA from 1 species
AUUGAACGCUGGCGGCAGGCCUAACACAUGCAAGUCGAACGAGUGGCGGACGGGUGAGUAAUGUCUGGGAAACUGCCUGAUGGAGGGGGAUAACUACUGGAAACGGUAGCUAAUCCCGCAUACCAUCAGAUGUGCCCAGAUGGGGUUAGCUUGUUGGUGGGGUAACGGCUCACCAAGGCGACGCUCCCUAGCUGGUCUGAGAGGAUGACCACGAACACGGGAACUGAGACACGGUCCAGACUCCUACGGGAGGCAGCAGUGGGGAAUAUUGCACAAUGGGCGAAAGCCUGAUCCAGCCAUGCGGCGUGUGUGAAGAAGUUCUUCGGAUUGUAAAGCACUUUAAGUUGGGAGGCGUUACCAACAGAGUAAGCACCGGCUAACUUCGUGCCAGCAGCCGCGGUAAUUC